UGGGCUUUCUCUUAUAAUUUUUAGCAAUUUUCUAAAGUUUAUAUUUAUAUCUUCCUCACCCGAUCAAAUGCGGAGAAAAACGCGUCAUUUUCUUUCCUUCUCCUCCUUCACAUUUUCAAAGAACCCAGAACCACCGCCUCUGCUCUUCUUCAAUCUCAGCUUGUCUACAAUGUUCUCCAUCCUUCCUCUUCAAUCUUCAAAGGCACCAGUAUGGGUUUAUUAGAGAGCGCCGUUCAUCGUUGCUGCCAUAAGUUUCUCCUCUUCCCUAUUCUGUGAUCAUUCAGUUCGUCCCCUGCACUUGUGUUUGAGUUGGUUGCUGUCAGUUAUUCUUCCUCCUCUGCCAGGCAGCUUGUCGAUGUCAACAGGUGCGACCGCUCUGUGCACUGCUGCUGGAAAAUUUCACCUUCUCCUCUCCUAUCUGAGCUGCUGUGGUUCAAUGUACAAGGUUCCUUUCCUCUUCCCCUGUGCAGCGUGAUAGAUUCGUCCUUCUUCCUUCUUUGUUCUGCCGUGGUUAAUAUGAGAUAGCAUAAUUGAUGCUGUACGUCUUGCUUACUAAUGAUGGAUGCUUGCGGAACAGAAUGGAGGCUUGUUCUGUAAAUAUGAAAUUUAUGUAUUAUGUCAUGAGACAUAUAAUUAGGUGCUCCACAUAACUUAUAAUUAGAGUUCUUAGUUUAUUAUACAUUUUGUCUACUGGUUGGAAGGAGCCGAGCUCCUAAUUGAUAUAAUGUUUAAAGAAA